rnacentral:rRNA from 1 species
GAUGAACGCUAGCUACAGGCUUAACACAUGCAAGUCGAGGGGCAGCAUGAACUUAGCUUGCUAAGUUUGAUGGCGACCGGCGCACGGGUGAGUAACACGUAUCCAACCUGCCGAUGACUCGGGGAUAGCCUUUCGAAAGAAAGAUUAAUACCCGAUGGCAUAGUUCUUCCGCAUGGUAGAACUAUUAAAGAAUUUCGGUCAUCGAUGGGGAUGCGUUCCAUUAGGUUGUUGGCGGGGUAACGGCCCACCAAGCCUUCGAUGGAUAGGGGUUCUGAGAGGAAGGUCCCCCACAUUGGAACUGAGACACGGUCCAAACUCCUACGGGAGGCAGCAGUGAGUAAUAUUGGGCAAUGGACGAGAGUCUGAACCAGCCAAGUAGCGUGAAGGAUGACUGCCCUAUGGGUUGUAAACUUCUUUUAUACGGGAAUAAAGUGAGGCACGUGUGCCUUUUUGUAUGUACCGUAUGAAUAAGGAUCGGCUAACUCCGUG